GAUGAACGCUGGCGGCGUGCCUAAUACAUGCAAGUCGAGCGAACGGACGAGAAGCUUGCUUCUCUGAUGUUAGCGGCGGACGGGUGAGUAACACGUGGAUAACCUACCUAUAAGACUGGGAUAACUUCGGGAAACCGUAGCUAAUACCGGAUAAUAUUUUGAACCGCAUGGUUCAAAAGUGAAAGACGGUCUUGCUGUCACUUAUAGAUGGAUCCGCGCUGCAUUAGCUAGUUGGUAAGGUAACGGCUUACCAAGGCAACGAUGCAUAGCCGACCUGAGAGGGUGAUCGGCCACACUGGAACUGAGACACGGUCCAGACUCCUACGGGAGGCAGCAGUAGGGAAUCUUCCGCAAUGGGCGAAAGCCUGACGGAGCAACGCCGCGUAAGUGAUGAAGGUCUUCGGAUCGUAAAACUCUGUUAUUAGGGAAGAACAUAUGUGUAAGUAACUGUGCACAUCUUGACGGUACCUAAUCAGAAAGCCACGGCUAACUACGUG
rnacentral:rRNA from 1 species